rnacentral:rRNA from 1 species
GACGAACGCUGGCGGCGUGCUUAACACAUGCAAGUCGAACGGAAAGGCCAUGCUUUUGUGGGGUGCUCGAGUGGCGAACGGGUGAGUAACACGUGAGUAACCUGCCCUUGACUUUGGGAUAACUUCAGGAAACUGGGGCUAAUACCGGAUAGGAGCUCCUGCUGCAUGGUGGGGGUUGGAAAGUUUCGGCGGUUGGGGAUGGACUCGCGGCUUAUCAGCUUGUUGGUGGGGUAGUGGCUUACCAAGGCUUUGACGGGUAGCCGGCCUGGGAGGGUGACCGGCCACAAUGGGACUGAGAGACGCCCCAGACUCCUACGGGAGGCAGCAGUGGGGAGUAUUGCGCAAUGGGGGGAAGCCUGAUGCAGCAACGCCGCGUGCGGGAUGACGGCCUUCGGGUUGUAAACCGCUUUCGCCGGUGACGAAGCGGGAGUGACGGUAAUGGGUAAAGAAGCACCGGCUAACUACGUG